GACGAACGCUGGCGGCGUGCUUAACACAUGCAAGUCGAACGGAAAGGCCCUGCUUUUGUGGGGUGCUCGAGUGGCGAACGGGUGAGUAACACGUGAGUAACCUGCCCUUGACUUUGGGAUAACUUCAGGAAACUGGGGCUAAUACCGGAUAGGAGCUCCUGCUGCAUGGGGGGGUUGGGAAGGUUUCGGCGGUUGGGGAUGGACUCGCGGCUUAUCAGCUUGUUGGUGGGGUAGUGGCUUACCAAGGCUUUGACGGGUAGCCGGCCUGAGAGGGUGACCGGCCACAUUGGGACUGAGAUACGGCCCAGACUCCUACGGGAGGCAGCAGUGGGGAAUAUUGCACAAUGGGCGGAAGCCUGAUGCAGCAACGCCGCGUGCGGGAUGACGGCCUUCGGGUUGUAAACCGCUUUCGCCUGUGACGAAGCGUGAGUGACGGUAAUGGGUAAAGAAGCACCGGCUAACUACGUG
rnacentral:rRNA from 1 species